AUUGAACGCUGGCGGCAUGCUUUACACAUGCAAGUCGAACGGCAGCACGGGCUUCGGCCUGGUGGCGAGUGGCGAACGGGUGAGUAAUGCAUCGGAACGUACCGUGUAGUGGGGGAUAACGUAGCGAAAGUUACGCUAAUACCGCAUACGCCCCGAGGGGGAAAGUGGGGGACCGCAAGGCCUCACGCUAUAUGAGCGGCCGAUGUCGGAUUAGCUAGUUGGUAGGGUAAAGGCCUACCAAGGCGACGAUCCGUAGCGGGUCUGAGAGGAUGAUCCGCCACACUGGGACUGAGACACGGCCCAGACUCCUACGGGAGGCAGCAGUGGGGAAUUUUGGACAAUGGGCGCAAGCCUGAUCCAGCCAUGCCGCGUGAGUGAAGAAGGCCUUCGGGUUGUAAAGCUCUUUCAGACGGAAAGAAAUCUCCCAGGAUAAUACCUUGGGAGGAUGACGGUACCGUAAGAAGAAGCACCGGCUAACUACGUGCCAGCCGCCGCGGUAAAAC
rnacentral:rRNA from 1 species